GUGCUCGCCUUGGCAGCACGUAUGCUAAAACUGGGACGAUGCAGAGGUUAGCAUGGGCCCUGUGCAAGGAUGACAUGCAAAUUCACAAAGCAUACCGUGUUUUU